CUCUGCGCCGAGGCUCCAGCCGGCAAGGAGCCUGGCCCAUGACACGUGCGGUUGCCCGCGUUCCCUCCCCACGUGGUGGGAGUCUCUGAGGGUCUCUGCGGGGCGCCCGGAUGCCUGAGGAGCCAGGCAGCCGCACAGGAGCCCCCAGGGCGGCAGGAAGGGCAGGGUGACCCCCGACUGCACAUGCCAGCCCCCACCCCACACUGCUGUCUGCUCUCAGGGAAGAACCUGCGUUAGCUGCGACAUUUUGGAAUCAGUCUCAUUCUCUGAGUUAGGCCACUCCUGGAGAUGGGCUGGCCCCGAGACCAGGGCCAAAUCCCAGCCCCACCGAGGGCUGUGGCGCCUCCUUGAGCAGCACCCUUCCCCGCUCCAGGCCUUGGUACGGCACAGGAGGAGGGCACCCACCUGGGCAGGGUCAGGUGGGGGCGUGGAGGUCCCCAGGGGAGCCCCCAAAGCCACUGUGCGGCAACAGACAUUCAGGACGGCAGGAGGGAGAGCCUCGGGUGGCUGCUGGAAAGGGGUGAGCAUGGAGUGUGAGUGUGUGAGAAGUGUGUGUGAGAAGUGCAUGAGUGUAUGAGGAGUGUGUGUGUGAGGAGUACGUGUGAGAAGUGCGUGUGUGAGGAGUGUGUGCGAGGAGUGCGUGUGUAAGGAGUGUGUGAGGGUGUGAGGAGUGAGUGUGAGAGUGACUGAGUUUGCAAGUGUGUGUGUGUGAGUUUGCAAGUGUGUUUGUGAGUUUGCAAGUGUGUGUGUGUGCGUGUGUGUGUGUGUGUACACGUGUGCAGCUGGCAGAAGAGCCUUCAGUGGAGGGCCGGGAGGAAAGGAGCUGGAGAAAGGCUGCUCCCCCGCAAUGCUGAAGCCAGCAGCUCAGAGGCAGGGACUCAGAGGCAGGGACUCAGAGGCAGGGACGUGGAGCUGCCUCCAACAAGGUGAAGGAAGGAGGCGGGUGGCUGGAGGGAGAAGCCACCAAACGCAGGGGAGGAGACUGGGAGAAUUCUGGACCUGAGGGUCUGAAGACCAGCUUGGCCCUCUGGCAGCCCCAUCGCCAAGGACUUGAGCCCUGCUGCCCAAAGACUCGGGUUUGAAUACGGGCUCUGCCUCUUACUAGCUGUGGGACUCUGGGUGAAUCCUUUGCCUCUCAGAGCCUGGGUUUCUUGGCUUGUAAAAUGGAGAUGAUAAGAGAA
rnacentral:lncRNA from 1 species